UACAGAGGGUGGCAGCGUUGUUCGGAAUUACUGGGCGUAAAGGGCGCGAGUAGGCGGCCUGGCUAAGUCGAACGGUGAAAAGCCCAGGCUCAACCUUGGAACUGCCUUUGAUACUGACUGUCUUGAGUUCGGGAGAGGUGAGUGGAAUGCCGAGUGUAGAGGUGAAAUUCGUAGAUAUUCGGCGGAACACCAGUGGCGAAGGCGACUCACUGGCCCGAUACUGACGCUGAGGCGCGAAAGCGUGGGGAGCAAACAGGG
rnacentral:rRNA from 1 species